rnacentral:tRNA from 1 species
UCUCCGAUAGCUCAGUUGGUAGAGCACUACUUGACGAGUGUGGUCGUGGGUUCAAAUCCCACUCGGAGAG